rnacentral:tRNA from 1 species
GCACAGGUGGUGGAAUGGUAGACACGCUACGUUGAGGGCGUAGUGGGCGUAAGCCUGUGAGGGUUCAAGUCCCUCUCUGUGCACCA